rnacentral:piRNA from 1 species
UGAGAUACCAGACUGUCAGACGUUGGCC